AAAAGCUUUUUUAAGGGCACACAGAGGAUGCCUUGAUAUGUAACACCGAUGAAGGACGCGAUAGUCUGCGAUAAGCUUGGGGGAGCUGACAAUAAGUUUCGAUCCCAAGAUCUCCGAAUGGGGCAACCCAUCCUGGGUCAUGCCAGGAUACUUCUGCCUGAAUAUAUAAGGUAGUUAGAGGGAACCGCGUGAACUGAAACAUCUAAGUAGCGCGAGGAAAAUAAAGUAAUCAACGAUUCCGUGAGUAGUGGCGAGCGAAAGUGGAAUAGCCCAAACCUUUUAGACUUUUCGUCUGUUAAUCUAUUAGUAGACGAAAUAAGUUGGUAGACGAAUGUCUAUAAGGGGUUGCAAGAUUAUACAUAAUCAAGCAAAAAUUCUUUGAUUUAUCAGAGAGUUUUUGUUUGUGAAGUCUACUACCAUUUAGACUGUGAGAGUAAAAAUAUAUUUAGAAGAACAAGCUGGAAAGCUUGGCCAUAGAGAGUGAAAGCCUCGUAUUUAAAAUUUAGAUUUUGAAAUCAUUUGUAUUUUCUUAAGUAGGUCGGGACACGUGAAACCCUGACUGAAUCUAGGAGGACCACCUCCUAAGGCUAAAUAUGUUACAUGAUCGAUAGUGAACGAGUACCGUGAGGGAAAGGUGAAAAGAACCCCGGGAGGGGAGUGAAAUAGACCCUGAAACUGUGUGCCUACAAGGAGUCGGAGCAGAUUUAUUCUGUGACGGCGUGCUUUUUGUAGAACGAUCCAACGAGUUAUUCUAUAGUGCAGCUUAAGACAUGUGUCGGAGGCAAAGCGAAAGCGAGUCUGAAUAGGGCGAAUUUAAGUACUAUGGAAUAGACCCGAAACCGGGUGACCUAACCAUGGCCAGGCUGAAGCAUCGGUAAAACGAUGCGGAGGGCCGAACCAGUGUAUUGAGUGCUUGGAUGAGCUGUGGUUAGCGGUGAAAUGCCAUUCGAACCGGGAGAUAGCUGGUUCUCCUCGAAAUAGCUUUAGGGCUAGCGUCGCGUGGUAACAAUUGGGGGUAGAGCUCUGAAAAGAACUGGGGCUGGCAACGGUACCCACUCUUACCAAACUACGAAUACCAAUUGCGAAAUCGCGGCAGUCAGAACGUCGGGGCUAAGCUCGGCGCUCGAAAGGGAAACAGCCCAGACCAUCGUCUAAGGUCCCUAAAUUAAUACUAAGUGGGAAACGAACUGAGAUUUCUUAAACAGCGAGGAUGUUGGCUUAGAAGCAGCCAUUCAUUUAAAGAGUGCGUAACAGCUCACUCGUCGAGAAAUCUUGGGCGGAAAAUGUAACGGGGCUAAAGUAUUAUACCGAAGACAUGGAUUACAGAUUUAUCUGUAGUGGUAGAGGAGCGUUGAUAGUGCGCUGAAGGUGAACUGUGAGGUUCGCUGGAGGGCUAUCAAGUGAGAAUGUUGGAAUGAGUAACUUCAAGACAGGUGAGAAUCCUGUCCGCCGAAAGAGUAAGGUUUCCUAGACUAUGGUAAUCAUUCUAGGGUUAGUCGGGCCUAAGCCGAGGCAGUUUAGCGUAGGCGAUGGACAACGGGUUAAUAUUCCCGUACCGGUAUAUCUUUUUUAACUUGUAUGCGGAGUGGUAGUUUGAGCGGAUUCAUGGUUAUAUCCGUUUAACUGGUUAGAUUUUUCGAGCCAGGAAUACGAGCUGUAAGCUUUCGAGCUCGCAGCGAGUCAGCAAAGCUACUCUGCCCAGAAAAGCUUGUUAAAGCAUGGGAUAUGCCGCCCGUACCAAAACCAUUACAGGUACUCAGGUCGAGAAGACUAAGGCGUACGAGAGAAUCUUGGUUAAGGAACUCGGCAAUACAGCGACCGUAACUUCGGGAUAAGGUCUGCCCAGUGUAAGAACUGGGUUGCAACAAAAGAGUCCAGGCGACUGUUUAUUUAAAACACAGGUCUCUGCUAACACGAAAGUGGAUGUAUAGGGGCUGACUCCUGCCCGGUGCCGGAAGGUUAAGGGGACGCGUUAACGCGCUGAACUGAAGCCCCGGUGAACGGCGGCCUUAACUAUUAGGGUCCUAAGGUAGCGAAAUUCCUUGUCGGGUAAGUUCCGACCCGCACGAAUGGAGUAACGAUCUGGACACUGUCUCAACCAAGAUCUCGGUGAAAGUGCAUUGGCGGUAAAGAUGCCGUCUGUCCGCACCAGGACGAGAAGACCCCGUGGAGCUUUACUACAACUUUACAUUGAAUCGGGUUACAACAUGUGUAGCAUAGGUGGGAGCCUUUGAAGCAGAUGCGCUAGCAUUUGUGGAGGCGCCAGUGAAAUACCACCCUUGUUGUGAUUUUAUUCUCACCCUGACCGUUAUCCGGUUAGGAGACCGUGUAUGGUGGGUAGUUUAACUGGGGCGGUUGCCUCCCAAAGAGUAGCGGAGGCGUUCAAAGGUCGGCUAACUACGGAUGGAAAUCGUAGUGAUAGUGCAAACGCAUAAGCCGGCUUGACUGUGAGACCAACAAGUCAAACAGGGACGAAAGUCGGAGUUAGUUGUCCUCUGUCUUGAGAAUUUAUUCUCAUUAGCGCGUGGUAGCGGCAGAGCUUACGGAUAAAAGUUACCCCGGGGAUAACAGGCUUAUAGCGCCCAAUAGUCCACAUUGACGGCGCUGUUUGGCACCUCGAUGUCGGCUCAUCACAUCCUGGGGGGGGAGCCCCUCCCAAGGGUUCGGCUGUUCGCCGAUUAAAGUGGUACGCGAGCUGGGUUAAGAACGUCGUGAGACAGUUCGGUUUAUAUCCGGUGUGGACGAGUAGGAAUUGUGAGAAUAGCUGCCCCUAGUACGAGAGGACCGGGGUGGACGAACCUCUGGUGUGUCAGUUGUCGUACCAACGGCAUUGCUGAGUAGCUAAGUUCGGAACGGAUAAGCGCUGAAAGCAUAUUAAGCGCGAAGCCGCAUUCAAGAUUACAGUUCCCUAUGAGGCCCCAGAAAGACCAUCUGGUUGAUAGGUAUGCGGUGAAAGCAUGGCGACAUGUUGAGCCUACAUAUACUAAUAGGUCCAUUGAGCUUUUAU
rnacentral:rRNA from 1 species